GCCUGGGUGGCUCAGUGGGUUAAGCGCCCGACUUCAGCUCAGGUCAUGAUCUCAGUCUGUGGGUUCAAGCCCCACCUCGGGCU
rnacentral:tRNA from 1 species